rnacentral:tRNA from 2 species
CUGGGUGUGGCUCAGCUUGGUAGAGUACCUGAAUGGGGUUCAGGGGGUCGGAGGUUCAAAUCCUCUCACCCAGACCA